GGUUUGUGAUCGCUUAGGAUCUGGAAUUUUCUACCGAAUAGCUGAAUAGUUUGAUUCGUGUUCGUUUAAAGUUCGACUUGCAUAGCAAAUGGGUUUGUGUUCCUGUGAUAGAACGGCGCCUAUAGCGAAGUUGCUAGCAUCUGUAGUCAAUGAGAAUGGUUUCUCGAAAUUUGGAUAAACUAGUAUCGGAUCGGACGUUAUUAAAACUUUGAAUUUUUCAAAUGCUGACACAUAA